GGGGAAACCUUUAAGCAGCCAUGCCGGGGUGUGGAAGAAAGCCUUUCGGGUUGUAAAGCAUUUUCAGUAGGGAGGAAGGUAGUGUAGUUAACACCUGCAUUAUUUGACGUUACUUACAGAAGAAGCACCGGCUAAUUCCGUGCCAGCAGCCGCGGUAAUACGGAGGGUGCGAGCGUUAAUCGGAAUUACUGGGCGUAAAGCGCAUGCAGGCGGCCUGUUAAGUCAGAUGUGAAAGCCCGGGGCUUAACCUCGGAAUUGCAUUUGAAACUGGCAGGCUAGAGUCUUGUAGAGGGGGGUAGAAUUUCAGGUGUAGCGGUGAAAUGCGUAGAGAUCUGAAGGAAUACCAGUGGCGAAGGCGGCCCCCUGGACAAAGACUGACGCUCAGAUGCGAAAGCGUGGGGAGCAAACAGGAUUAGAUACCCUGGUAGUCCACGCCGUAAACGAUGUCUACUUGGAGGUUGUGGCCUUGAGCCGUGGCUUUCGGAGCUAACGCGUUAAGUAGACCGCCUAGGGAGUACGGUCGCAAGAUUAAAACUCAAAUGAAUUGACGGGGGCCCGCACAAGCGGUGGAGCAUGUGGUUUAAUUCGAUGCAACGCGAAGAACCUUACCUACUCUUGACAUCCAGAGAAGCUUGAAGAGAUUCGAGUGUGCCUUCGGGAACUCUGAGACAGGUGCUGCAUGGCUGUCGUCAGCUCGUGUUGUGAAAUGUUGGGUUAAGUCCCGCAACGAGCGCAACCCUUAUCCUUGUUUGCCAGCACUUCGGGUGGGAACUCCAGGGAGACUGCCGGUGAUAAACCGGAGGAAGGUGGGGACGACGUCAAGUCAUCAUGGCCCUUACGAGUAGGGCUACACACGUGCUACAAUGGCAUAUACAGAGGGCAGCAAGACCGCGAGGUGGAGCGAAUCCCAGAAAGUAUGUCGUAGUCCGGAUCGGAGUCUGCAACUCGACUCCGUGAAGUCGGAAUCGCUAGUAAUCGUGGAUCAGAAUGCCACGGUGAAUACGUUCCCGGGCCUUGUACACACCGCCCGUCACACCAUGGGAGUGGGCUGCACCAGAAGUAGAUAGCUUAACCUUCGGGAGGGCGUUUACCACGGUGUGGUUCAUGACUGGGGUGAAGUCGUAACAAGGUAACCG
rnacentral:rRNA from 1 species